AUCUGUGUGGCGUAAUGGUUUGAAUGCCAGACUAAGGACUCUGGAGACCAGGGUUCGAAUCCCAUUCAGCCA